CAUUGUAUCAUCUCACAUCAUCAAAAGAAGAAGGCUGAGUACAGUGUAACCCAUUUUGAGAGAACCACAUUCACAUAAGAAAUUCCAGGGACUAAUAUUGAGAUGAACCAGGCAUGGAGACCAAGCUGCAAAAUUCCAGAAAUGACCUCCAGGUUGUUAGUCUACAACCCAGCCAUCGUCAAGAUAACAUUAGACUGCGUUCCAGGUGGACCAUGACUCAAGAUAGCCACCAGACCAAGGCACGGACACCUAGCACCCAGCACCACUCCUGCAUGCCUCCCACUCUAAGUUCCCCUUUAUAAACACCUCUCCACAGUCGAAAGUUUGAAAUCGUCUUUUAAGGGCAUGAGCUUGGCCAUUCCCAGAUCUUGGCAUUUGAAUAAAGUAGCUCUCUGUUCAUCA
rnacentral:lncRNA from 1 species